rnacentral:rRNA from 1 species
UACGGGGGGAGCAAACGUUGUUCGGAUUUACUGGGCGUAAAGGGCGCGUAGGCGGCCACCGCAAGUCGGUUGUGAAAUCUCUGGGCUUAACCCAGAAAGGUCAACCGAUACUGCGGGGCUAGAGUGCAGAAGGGGCAACUGGAAUUCUCGGUGUAGCGGUGAAAUGCGUAGAUAUCGAGAGGAACACCUGCGGCGAAGGCGGGUUGCUGGGCUGACACUGACGCUGAAGCGCGAAAGCUAGGGGAGCGAACGGG